rnacentral:lncRNA from 1 species
GUUUCUUGGGCACAAUGAGGAAGUGGUGCACCUCUUAUCACAGGAAGUCGAUGCUUUAUCACUUCACUUAAGACACAUCAGCUCAGAGACUAUGACAGCUGAUACCUGAGAAGGGACUGUAAAAGGACUCCACCACCAUGGUUAAAUUCAGAUGGAUUCAAAUGUCUUUGUUUCUGAUCUUGCACAGAGCAGGUAGCAGAAACAUUUACAAAACAAACGUCUGUUGAAACCAGAAUUAUCCUCACACUAAAUCUUGAUUUAAAAGGUACUUUCUCUUACUUUUGUCUUGCUGUUUUUACAGCAAUUGCGACACAAUUUUAUGACCUUCAUGUCAAAAAUGGAAAAGAGGCCGUGAUGCAUUGCGGAGAUGUAAUAGACCAUCAGGGCAAAUGUGACGGUGUCCUCUGGCUAUUCCGUCGCCAAUUUCUUCUGGGAAAAGAUCAGCAGCUCAACCGUGGGCGGAUUAUUAAGAACCCUGAGGAUAAAUCGUACAGACUGAGUGUUACAGAGGACUGUUCUCUGGUUAUAAAGAAGGUCACAUUUGACGACACUGGUUUCUACACCUGCUUAAAACCAGGACAAGAUGAAGAAUAUCUAGUUGAACUGAUUGUUUUCACCACAGGAAUCAUCUUUCCAGGGUCUGGAACCGAUGCUCCAUCAAAUUUACAAGGAGUCACAGCAGGGAGAAACGAGACAGCAACAGAACAAGGAGGCACAGCAGGGAGAAACGAGACAGCGACAGAACAAGCUCGUACAGAUUGUUCUGUUGUCGACUACAUCAUGUUGGUUCUGCGUGUGGCUGAACUCGUCCUAAUUACUGUGAUUACUGUUCUUCUCAUCAGAGCUCAAGGUGAGAACAUUCACACCAACAUCUGUUUGGACUGA